ensembl:rRNA 5S_rRNA 5S ribosomal RNA
GUCUACGGCCAUAUCACCCUGAACGUGCCCAAUCUUGUCUGAUCUCAGAAGCUAAGCAGGGUCGGGCCUGGUUAGUACUUGGAUGGGAUACACAGAAGGGACGGUCUGGGAGGGUACC